rnacentral:rRNA from 1 species
GACGAACGCUGGCGGCGUGCCUAAUACAUGCAAGUAGAACGCUGAAGAGAGGAGCUUGCUCUUCUUGGAUGAGUUGCGAACGGGUGAGUAACGCGUAGGUAACCUGCCUUGUAGCGGGGGAUAACUAUUGGAAACGAUAGCUAAUACCGCAUAACAAUGGAUGACACAUGUCAUUUAUUUGAAAGGGGCAAUUGCUCCACUACAAGAUGGACCUGCGUUGUAUUAGCUAGUAGGUGAGGUAAUGGCUCACCUAGGCGACGAUACAUAGCCGACCUGAGAGGGUGAUCGGCCACACUGGGACCGAGACACGGCCCAGACUCCUACGGGAGGCAGCAGUAGGGAAUCUUCGGCAAUGGGGGCAACCCUGACCGAGCAACGCCGCGUGAGUGAAGAAGGUUUUCGGAUCGUAAAGCUCUGUUGUAAGUCAAGAACGGGUGUGAGAGUGGAAAGUUCACACUGUGACGGUAGCUUACCAGAAAGAGACGGCUAACUACGUG